GAUAGGAAUAUAUUCAUAAGUAAAAAAAAAAAAAAUACAUUGAAAUAAACCAUUGCAUGUAAUAACCUUUUGUAAUCAAUUUAUGCUUUAUAGAACAAACAUGAAUUUUCAUGAUUUCAAUUGUAAUAGGCAGAAAGAGACAAAAGCUGUCCUAAAUGCUCAGAUGGGGAGAAAUGCGUACACAUAUCAAAGAACACUACCAGAUGCAUGGAUGAUGGAGAUUAUAUCACUGACUGUACUGUGUUGCAUUGGAAAAUACCUUCGUUGAACAGUGGGGAAUAUACCAUCAAACCUCUACACAAGAAAAAAAUCCGAGUGUUUUCUGAGAUGAAGAAGGAUGGGGGCGGAUGGACGGUUUUCCAAAGACGAAUGGAUGGUUCAGUAAAUUUCGCCCGUACUUGGAACGAUUAUAGAUAUGGAUUUGGAAAUUUAUCAACUGAAU